GAUGAACGCUAGCUACAGGCUUAACACAUGCAAGUCGAGGGGUAGCGGGGUAGCAAUACUGUCGACGACCGGCGCACGGGUGAGUAACGCGUAUCCAACCUGCCCCCAACUAGGGAAUAACCUUGCGAAAGUAAGACUAAUACCCUAUAAUUUCCUCAGAUGACAUCUGACGAGGAAUAAAGAUUUAUCGGUUGUGGAUGGGGAUGCGUCUGAUUAGCUUGUUGGCGGGGUAACGGCCCACCAAGGCAACGAUCAGUAGGGGUUCUGAGAGGAAGGUCCCCCACAUUGGAACUGAGACACGGUCCAAACUCCUACGGGAGGCAGCAGUGAGGAAUAUUGGUCAAUGGGCGGAAGCCUGAACCAGCCAAGUAGCGUGCAGGAUGACGGCCCUAUGGGUUGUAAACUGCUUUUAUACAGGAAUAAAGUUAGCCACGUGUGGUUAUUUGUAGGUACUGUAUGAAUAAGGACCGGCUAAUUCCGUGCCAGCCGCCGCGGUAA
rnacentral:rRNA from 1 species